UACGUAGGUGGCAAGCGUUAUCCGGAUUUAUUGGGCGUAAAGGGAACGCAGGCGGUCUUUUAAGUCUGAUGUGAAAGCCUUCGGCUUAACCGGAGUAGUGCAUUUGAAACUGCUUCCCUUGAGUAUCGGAGAGGUAAUCGGAAUUCCUAGUGUAGCGGUGAAAUGCGUAGAUAUUAGGAAGAACACCAGUGGCGAAGGCGGAUUACUGGACGACAACUGACGGUGAGGCGCGAAAGCGUGGGGAGCAAACAGG
rnacentral:rRNA from 1 species